CUUGGGUCAUUUAGAGGAAGUAAAAGUCGUAACAAGGUCUCCGUAGGUGAACCUGCGGAGGGAUCAUUACAAGAACGCCCGGGCUUCGGCCUGGUUAUUCAUAACCCUUUGUUGUCCGACUCUGUUGCCUCCGGGGCGACCCUGCCUUCGGGCGGGGGCUCCGGGUGGACACUUCAAACUCUUGCGUAACUUUGCAGUCUGAGUAAACUUAAUUAAUAAAUUAAAACUUUUAACAACGGAUCUCUUGGUUCUGGCAUCGAUGAAGAACGCAGCGAAAUGCGAUAAGUAAUGUGAAUUGCAGAAUUCAGUGAAUCAUCGAAUCUUUGAACGCACAUUGCGCCCCCUGGUAUUCCGGGGGGCAUGCCUGUUCGAGCGUCAUUUCACCACUCAAGCCUCGCUUGGUAUUGGGCAACGCGGUCCGCCGCGUGCCUCAAAUCGUCCGGCUGGGUCUUCUGUCCCCUAAGCGUUGUGGAAACUAUUCGCUAAAGGGUGUUCGGGAGGCUACGCCGUAAAACAACCCAUUUCUAAGGUUGACCUCGGAUCAGGUAGGGAUACCCGCUGAACUUAAGCAUAUCAAUAAGCGGAGGA
rnacentral:rRNA from 1 species